GGUAGGGUGGCUGAGAGUCCCAGGCGGUGGUUUGUAGCUCCACGUACAGAGGUUCAAACCCUCUCCUUACCA
rnacentral:tRNA from 1 species